rnacentral:rRNA from 1 species
CGUAGGUGGCAAGCGUUAUCCGGAAUCAUUGGGCGUAAAGGGUGCGUAGGUGGCGUACUAAGUCUGUAGUAAAAGGCAAUGGCUCAACCAUUGUAAGCUAUGGAAACUGGUAUGCUGGAGUGCAGAAGAGGGCGAUGGAAUUCCAUGUGUAGCGGUAAAAUGCGUAGAUAUAUGGAGGAACACCAGUGGCGAAGGCGGUCGCCUGGUCUGUAACUGACACUGAGGCACGAAAGCGUGGGAGCAAAUAGGAUU